rnacentral:lncRNA from 1 species
GCAGAUCCAACUCGCCUAUCCGUCGGAGAGGUUCGUGCGCGCCACUGGCAAGUACGGGCCGUACAGCAGCGAGAAGAACCAGGGUGUCACGGUGACGGAGCUGUCGUUCGUCACGUACAACAACAUCACCGGCACGAGCGUCACGUACGGCCCGUACGGCGGGCAUGAGAUGAGCAGCCAGACGAGCUUCCAGACGGCGGACGCGAGCGAGAUCGUGGGCUUGUAUGGAUUCACCUCGGACUACAUGCGCGGGAUUGGUUUCGCGCUCGAGCCUGCCAAGAACUAGAAACUUGGAUAUAGAUGAUUAAUCAUCAUACCAUGAAUCUAUCUAUCUACCAACCAUUGCUAAUUUACAGUUGAACUUGAGAAUGUAGCCACUGUUUCAAUAGUCUUGCGCCAAUGACGCGUAGAUGCGAUAAAUCCUCCUGAGCGAGGAGCACUUUGAGCUUGGAGCUCAUAAAGUCAAUGGAAGGCAAAAAAAAGUCCAAGAAAGUCUCUAUUAGCUUUAUUGACCUUGACAAAUUGAGUUGAGUUGAGUGCAAGUCCGUUAAUAUUGUUACUACUGUUUAUUACUUAAUCUUUUAAGGUAACUUCCAGAUAUCAGUAUGUAUCAGAUGUCAAUAUGGUUUCUGGCCUAUAUAAUUUCCUGGCGGAUCAUAGUUGCAACUAACAAGGUAAGAAUUCAUACCAUUGCACUGGACAUAAGCGCAUCCAACUCGAACAGAGUUCUUCCACACAACCUGCGUGUAGUGUCCACAGACCUUCCCUGCCGCGCAAGUGUUUGACGCAUAGUUGUAGUCGACUUGCUCGCUCACCCAGGCAGCCACAGCGUCAGUGGCGGGAGGAGCAGGCAAGCCGGGACUUCCCCACCACUUCCACAGAUUCUCGCCAUAUCUCCCACCCGAGUGGAUCAGCGCGCAGUUGUUUUGAUCCCGGAGAGUUGCCGCCCAGCUUGAUGCAAACGCGGCCACUGUAUCGUCCCAAACCAGCCCCGAGACAUUCACAGCCGACCGAGCUGCGUUGUGUGCGUCGACAAGAUCAAUCUGCUGGCUUGCUUGAAGAACAACCAAAGCAUCACAAAAGAAGAUCGCCAGAGUUGCAAAGAGGAGAGGAGAGCAAGGAGAUUUCAUGUUGCUGGGGCGAUGUUCACAAUCAAGAGCAAACUCCUACGUUUAUAUGCAAAGUCGUUGUUCUGAUCGAGUUUUUCCACUUGUGGCGCCGACUUAGCGCUUGCGAUUGUAUACGAUUUUUUGCUGUGACGGUGACCCAUGAAUCGAGUACGUUUUAGUUUGGUGCUCCAUGACUUUAGCCGCCUCUCUUUCUUCCACUGCUCGAGGAGCUUCUCUUCCGGACACCCUCUGGAUACAAAUUCAUGGAUCUUUCUUUGGCAGUUUCCUCAAGCAACUUGAAUCAUCCACAUGAAUCCAUUACCAACACUUCAGUGUUUGCGUGAACUAACUGUAUCGCACACAAAGGAUUCUAUUUUGUAUUCAAGGUGGUGGUGAUGGUCUUUAUCUUGGGAUUAAAGACUGCAAAAUAAGCAUACAAACCAUGACAGACAGCAGUUGGUCCUUGUCAGCGAUUUAAACAGCGAAGCAAACAUUCCAGGCUCAGUAAUCUAGUCUAAUCCUCGAAACCCAAGAAAAAAAACCCGUGCAAUCGCAAAUCUCUCACUUGCACAUGUUCCAAGGUUUUUGACACACUAUAUUACACUGGUUGGUGUGCCAACAUCGCCAACUUUGAGAGAUUUUAAGACACCCCAAAAGAGCAAAUCAUUCUAUCGUCUCUUUUGAAUUCAUCUUCACUUGAGUGAAUCUGAGAGAGAGGAAAGAGAAAAGUUACAGAAUUGAAAGAAAAUCUUAUAUAACACACCGGUGGGUAAUCCUGUCUUCUACUCCUAAAAAAUCUCGUUGGUCAUGUCCAGGGGUUCGAUUCCCGGCGCCGACGCCCUCGGGAGGAGGUCGCGGGGUCGAUUCCAGUGGGCGCGCCGGGAGAGUGAAGCUCUUCUUGAUCACCCCGAGGAGACCGAUCGGCUGCGCCACAGGCGAUCGCGAUCGGCGUGCGCGCCGCGGUGGUGGAAAUCGUCGUUCCGGGCCCGGGAGGGAAGAAAUUCGUCUCCACGGCGCCGUUGUGGCUGGAUUUCUUCUUCCUCUUGCGCAGCCCAAAGAAGGAGGAGAUCCAGGAGAGCUUGCCGCCGCCGCCGCUGUGGUGAUGGGGAUUCCUGGCGCCGCGAUGAUCCCUGUCGACGUGAUGAGCCACGGGCGUGGCGGAUGCCGAUACCAGGGGACUGUGAUAGGACCCGGCGGCAUUUGCCUUGCAGUUCCGCGUGGAGAAGAAUCCAUCCGCUGGAAACCCUCCUUCCCCCCCAUUUCUUGAAUCGGGAGCGGCAAAUCGAGCAAAUGUUGGUGCUGGAGCUCCGCCGCGGCGGGUGCUGCUGCUGCCACUGCGAGAGAGGAAUUCGGGAGCAGCGUGUGGCUGCUGGAAGAAUCGCCCGAGAGAGAGAGCCGGAGGAGGCGAUCCCGGAGGCACAAGUGACCGGCUGCCUCUUGCUGGGAUGAACCAAGCACACGCCUGGAUCCAUCGCCAAAUCGAUCUAGUAGCAGCUCGCGUUGGGAGGAUACCACCGAAAAAAUCCCGUCGACAUGGCCCGCCCGCGUUGUCGGUGAGCGAAUUGGGUGUGAUCGAUCUUGUUGCCAAUCUUUGUCUCGGAUCCAAAUGGACAGCCAUGGAGCGCACUUUUGGAUGGCGCCACCACGAAGCUCGAGCCAAGCAGCGGACGUGAAGGAGAAGUGGAUGUAUAUCUGCAUCCUGGCUAACCAAAGCCCAAGAACGUCAAGUUUCCGUUUCAAGUUGGAAUUUUUGGUGACCAUCCGACGGUUGCAGAGGUACUCUUGCUUUUCCCUUAACUUCGCUAAUUUUCCGUCUACAGGAUUUCAAGAUCCCUGUCUGCAAGGGGGACAUCAUUGCUUUGGGAACUGAUGGCCUUUUUGACAAUCUCUUCAAUGACGACAUAACCGAAGUUCUUAAAAAUUCUCUUGGGUCCGACCAAGUCAACUUGAAGGUGAACUCUCGCUGUUGACGAAUCUCAAGAUCGCCAGGCAGCUGCAGCAGAUCGUGUAGCUGGGGCGCAGGCCGAGCGUUUGGACAGCCCGUUUGCCAGGGCGGCUGCAAAGGCGAGAAUGAAUUGGAGCGGUGGAAAGCUAGAUGAUACCAUGGCAGUUGUGGCGUUUGUGACGUGAUAUUAAGGGUAAACUUUUCAACCAGUUUUUGCGGAGGCCAGUGGAGCAGGGCAAGAAGGCAUAAUUUGGCUCACACCACUCCUCCUUGGCAGCUUUCCUGAGCCUCAACAUGGACGGAAAUCCCACUUUGUUGACUGAUGAUCUGCUAUUGAUGAGCUGAGCAGCUGAUGCUGCCAACGAAGCAUGCAAGCAGCAUAAAGAUCGGCAAGAUGUAGCCUCUCAUUCUCAUGAUCAAAGGAUCACCCCCUGGUUGAUGGAAAAGGUAGAGUGUUAAGUCCAAAACAUGGCAUAUGCAUCAAUUGUGUAAGAUAAAGGGGAAUUCAUUUUUUAUAUGUUCUUUAUUGAUACACAAUUAGAAGUAUUAUUAAUAAUGACUUUGAAUAACAUUUUCAACAUUAAUAUCCAAAAUGAUGGGUAUAAAUUACUCCUAAAGCCAAAGACCAAUCUUCCUUUCUCUUUUGGUGUUAACACUUUGCCAAAAUACUUAAUUAUAGAUAAAAGUAACCAUGAAAUUUAUGAAUGUAUCAAAUCAUCAUUAUUGUAUAUUCAAAUUGAGCGUAUUUAUCACAAAAAGGAGUUAGUUUCUUUUUUAUUAAAGUAUAGUAAUGAGUAAAUUGAGUAAUACAAAACUCCUUGUAAUCAAGAAUCCUCAAUGCAACACUAUGUGUGGCAUUACAAGUGGCUACAAUUAUUGCACAAAAAAUAAGUUUUUCACAACACUAAAUGCUAUGGCAUUGAAGAAAAUGAACUUUGAUAUCACAUCAUCUAAGUUUAUGUUUCUUGCAUCAUCAAGUAUUUUCCCAAUGUUGCCAUUUCACAUUCACUUUCAGCCAAUAAAUGAUCCCUCAUAGCUUAUGAAGUAUUCAUAGGCUGAGAUUAAUUAACACUUUCGAUACAAGCUCCAGAAGCAAAUGCCCCAUCAAAAUGUUAACUCUCCAUAAAUUUGUUAUAAAAAGUAAAGACAAAAGUGCAUUUGUGAUUUGCUCCACAAAUAUUCAAUAAGUUUGAUUUUGAAUAUAAAGAGGAAUGUUUGAAACACUAUAUGUUUCAAUAUCAUGCCCAAGAAUUUUAGCAAAAUGUGUUAACUGCCAUACAUUUUUCCAUAAUAAUUACAUUUCUAAUGCCUAAAUCUUUUGCCAGAAGCAUAAGGAAUGAGUUUGGCAACAUAGAACUAUGCCCAAUCAAGCACCAUUGUUCAACUGUGUCAGAAUCGCUCUCUAAAAUCACUGGAAUCAUACUUUUCUAUUUUAGGGCAAAAUUACAGUUCAUGUGAAGCCUUAGCAAGCUGCUCCACGCUCAAUCUAAAGUGGGGCCGACCGACUGGAGAGUGUUAUAGCCCUCUUGGUCGGAUUCGAUGUAAACUUGCUGGGCUGGGCAUUUGUGGAUGGAUGGAUCGCUCCAUAGCAGCAGGAGAACCAGCAAAGUGGUGGAGACGGAUCGGGAUUCUAGCUGAACGCGGUCGGGACCAACAAUGCUAGAUCUGCACCGACUCACCUCAGAUUCUAGAAAUCUAGCAGCGUAGCGGCAAUGCAACCUGCGCCAUCAAUCGAUCUCCUCCACGGGCAAAUAUCUGAUAAGUAGUGGAAUAUUCUGGUUCCCGUGAAUCGUCUCGAGUGUGCCUCUUAAUCGUGUCACUUGGAAACGAGCCCAGCUCAGAAGACACACAAAUUUUUCUAGUUACGUGUUCGUCAUCUGAAAAGAGGAUUACAAGGACGACGAAAGCCAAUAUAAUAUACACUACACCCCUUUUCGUCCAACUAUGUACCUCACAUACACACAUGCUUUGUAAGUACAUUUUUUAGAAGCUUUUCAUCGACAUCGAAGGGGCCUCCUCAUAUACAUUGUCCUCAAAAUAUGUAAAGGGAAGAAAAAAAACGAAGAAGAACGCUAAUAGUAAGAGACCUGGUGUAAGCAAAAAGAUGGAUGCCCCCCUCCCUCCCCCUAAGUAGUGUUGUUGUUACAUCGUCAAUGUAGCGACUGUUUGACGACAUGCCGCAGAGGGAUUCGGUAUCGCAGGCCGCCAUGGUUGCAGCUUAUGCCCAAUGCGGGCAUCUUGAUCUUGCGACGCGAUUGUUACAGGAGAUGCCUCGGCACAACCUUCUGUGUUUGAAUGCAAUCCUCUUGGCGACCGCUACCGAGGUCCGGAUAAGCAGAGCAAGCCAGAUCUUUGAGGAAAUGCCCGAGCAAGACAUCGUUUCUUGGAGCACCAUGCUUUUGGCAUAUGCCCAGAACGGUCUCUUGGACGAAGCCAAGCAAACUUUUGGACUGAUGCCUUAGCNNNNNNNNNNNNNNNNNNNNNNNNNNNNNNNNNNNNNNNNNNNNNNNNNNNNNNNNNNNNNNNNNNNNNNNNNNNNNNNNNNNNNNNNNNNNNNNNNNNNGCAGCUGCGAGAGUCCAAGGUUUUGUUCGACGACAUGCUGGAACGCGACGUGGUUCCGUGGACUGCGAGGUCACGUCAGGCAUUCCGAAAGGCUGUUUGAGUCGCUUCCCGAACGGGACACCAUCUGCUGGAGCGCUAUGCUUGCCGCUCUUGUUCAAAACGGGCUCUACUUGGAAGCUUUUGUUGUUUUUGACGAGAUGAAGAUGGCGGGAUCAAUUGACAAGGUGUGUUUUGUAUCGAUCCUCAUUGCGGAGGGAAGGUUUCCACUGCAAAAUCGCUCUUCGUGUCGAUGAGUCUUGAUUUUGGGUUUCAACCGAGCAAGCAGCACUAUUGCUGCAUGAUCGAUGUCUUUGGGCGAGCCGGGCAUUUAGAAAAUGCGCAAGAUCUUGUGGCUAACAUGCCAUAUGUACCAGAUUCGAUUCAGUGGAGGUGCUUGUUUGGAGCAAGCCGAAGUAAAAAUGAUGCUCAACAUGGAGCUUCGGUUGCUAGGGAAAUAAUCGGACUAGAAAAAGAACAUUCUGCUUCAUAUGAGCUUUUUGCCAACUUGAUAAGGUUGUAAAUUUGCCCUUUAGUUUAAAUAAAUUGUAAAUCUAUAACUUUUACAUUUUAUUGGUAAUCUCGCCAUACAUUUUGUAAGUACCCCAAGAAUAGGUGAAUAUAACAAUGUUCUGUGUUUUCUGAAACAGGUUAUUUGGAAAAUAUUAUGGCUGGUGUGAGAGCAAUGGUGGAUUUGGGUAUAGAUCAUGUACCAAAUGAAUAUUUGACAUCCAUAUGCAAAGGCAUAACUAUCAAAGCUCCAAACAACCUCCCAAUUAUUGACUUAAGUGGCAUAGAUAGUGAUGAUUUGAAAAGAAAAUCAGCAGCUGAAGAAAUUCAUCUAGCUUGCCAAAAAUGGGGUUUUUUCCAAGUAAAUAAAUCUCUUCUGAAAUACUUUGCAAUUGUUUUAGUCAGGUCAUUGGCCAAGACAUUAUCAAAAUGGUUCAUUACUUUUUUAACUUGCUUGCCAAGGAAAUGAUGGUUUACUAUUCAAUAGAUAUCUAUAAGAGCUUCAAAUUCUCCACAGGAUCCACAUCUUACCGAUAUCUCAAACCUAAAAUACUAAUCCAAAGUAAACCACAAAGAACAUGUGGUAAUGCGAAAAGCCAAAAACCAUAAAAGAACAAUUAACUAUCAUAAAAGAUUAUCAAUUUUCAUAGCAAAUGCAAGUAAAAAGUUUUGAACCGACUAUUUGUUCCAGCACUGUAGGCCAGCAGUUCACGAGGAUGAUGUACCAGAAUGUAUUCCAAAUUACAAGUACAAACUUUCCUUUAACAGAUCUCUUUUUUUUUUCUCUGUUUUAACACUAUAUAUUAAUUAUAACAAAGGAAAAUUACAAGCAAUUACGCCAAGGCUGUGGACAAACUUGCCAGAAAACUAUUGCGAAUUAUUGCUCAAAACCUUGGUCUAGAUUGGCAGAUCCUGGAGAGACACUUGGAUCCUCCCAAGCAAACCAUGAAGAUGACAUAUUAUCCACAGUGUCCAUGCCCUGAUCAAGCAAUUGGUAUAGGUUGUCAUGCUGAUCCAGGAACCAUAACGGUAUUACAACAAGAACUUGGAGUUGAGGGCCUUGAGGUUAACUACAAUGGCCAAUGGAUUCCUGUGAAGCCAGUUGAAGGCGCAUUAGUCAUUAAUGUAGCAGACAUGCUCCAGGUGAAAUAAUUUGAUGACAUUUUCUAUGAGCUCUUAGUUUCCCUCUUACAGAUACUAAGCAACAAUAAAUAUAAGAGUACGGAGCAUUGAGUUCUAGUGAACACUAAGAAGCCACGAGUUUCAAUUGCUUCAUUUUAUGGUCCUACAGAUGAUAAACAUAUUGCCCCACUGGAGGAGUUGCUAGGUGACAAUCCUCCCAUGUUCAAAGCAUGCUUGUUCAGAGAGUACAUGGACAGCUUCUACAAGAACCACCUUGGGACGCGAAACAUUGAGACACUCAGAAUCCUAAACAACUGAUUAUAGGAAACAUAUUGUCAUGAUAAUACAUUAAUCCGAUCCUAAUAUCAUUAAUACUACUAAGGCUGACAUGACUGUGGCAUUCCAUCUGAAAGCUGUUUUACAACAGAGUUCGUGCAGUUCAUAUACCAUAUUCCUUCACGGGACUCUUGUUUGCAUGUUUCUGUCCAAGAAGGCUGUAUGAUCAUAGACAAAGCAAAGGCUGCACAACAUUUCCCGUCUACACAAGGAGUUUCUUCUUCUCUUGGUAGCAGUCGAUUAUAGCAAGGGAGAGAGUUUCAGAGCUGUGCAAUGGGUGCAUUGUUGAGAUCCUUCGUUGUUCUCCUGGUAUACAGAUUAGCUCAUUACUCCACUCCAUUGAUGUUUCUUCGAUCCAUUCCCAGUGAUGAAUUUUGUUGUUUUCUCGUAGCUUGUCGUCGUCGCGGUGGAAGCGCGCUCCUGGUCUCCGCUCUACGGCACCAACGCGGGUGUGAGAUUCAACGACACGAGUUCUUCCUCGGCGAUCAAAACUCUCACCGGAAUCCGCGUACGCUACGGCUGGGUGAUCGACGGCAUCCAGGGACAAUACACCACCGGCAGCUCUUCAACCUGGAUGCCUAACCACGGCACAACCACGCAAUUCACAGAGGUCAGUGGCCCAAAAGAACCAAAAUGACCGUUUCUAAUUUCAAUCAUUCCAUUCCAUGACGCAGAUCCAACUCGCCUAUCCGUCGGAGAGGUUCGUGCGCGCCACUGGCAAGUACGGGCCGUACAGCAGCGAGAAGAACCAGGGUGUCACGGUGACGGAGCUGUCGUUCGUCACGUACAACAACAUCACCGGCAAGAGCGUCACGUACGGCCCCUACGGCGGGCAUGCGAUGAGCGGCCAGAAGAGCUUCCAGACGCCGGACGCGAGCGAGAUCGUGGGCUUGUAUGGAUUCACCUCGGACUACAUGCGCGGGAUUGGUUUCGCACUCGAGCCUACCAAGAACUAGAAACUUGGCAUCAUGCCAUGAAUCUAUCUAUCUACCUACUGUUGUUGAUCUACAGUUGAAUUUGAGAAUGUAACCUCUGUUUCAUCAGUCUUGCGCCGAUGACGCUCGUAGAUGUAAUAAAUCCUCCAAAUACACUUUUGAUAAAAAAAAGUCAGUGGAAGUCAAAUAAUGGUUACACUCUGGGAAUUCGCUCGCCAGAGUUCCCACCGAUACACCACUUCGAGUCCAAAAGCCCAUUCGUUCAAUCCAGAGAGGAUUAUGACUGGAUCAAUAUACCCCCCCCCUCCCGGAUUGGUGGACUUACCAUGUUAUUGACCUUGACAAAUUGUGUUAUGAAUUGAAUAUUUACUAAUUCUUUCACAUAAACCAUGUCAAUAUGGUUUCUGGCCUAUAUAAUUUCCUGGUGGAUCAUAGUUGCAACUAACAAGGUAAGCAUUCAUACCAUUGCACUGGACAUAAGCGCAUCCAACUCGAACAGAGUUCUUCCACACAACCUGCGUGUAGUGUCCACAGACCUUCCCCGCCGCGCAAGUGUUUGACGCAUAGUUGUAGUCGGCUCGCUCGUUCACCCAGGCAGCCACAGCGUCAGUGGCGGGAGGAGCAGGCAAGCCGGGACUUCCCCACCACUUCCACAGAUUCUCGCCAUAUCUCCCACCCGAGUGGAUCAGCGCGCAGUUGUUUUGAUCCCGGAGAGUUGCCGCCCAGCUUGAUGCAAACGCGGCCACUGUAUCGUUCCAAACCAGCCCCGAGACAUUCACAGCCGAUCGAGCUGCGUUGUGUGCGUCGACAAGGUCACUCUGCUGGCUUGCUCGAAGAACAACCAAAGCAUCACAAAAGAAGAUCGCCAGAGUUGCAACGAGGAGAGGAGAGAAGGGAGAUUUCAUGUUGCUGGGGUGAUGUUCACAAUCAAGAGCAAACUCUUACGUUUAUAUGCAAAGUCGUUGUUCUGAUCGAGUUUUUCCACUUGUGGCGCCGACUUAGCGCCUGCGAUUGUAUACGAUUUUUUGCUGCGACGGUGACCCAUGAAUCGAGUACGUUUUAGUUUGGUGCUCCAUGACUUUAGCCGCCUCUUUUUCUUCCACUGCUCGAGGAGCUUCUCUUCUGGACACCCUCUGGAUACAAAUUCAUGGAUCUUUCUUUGGUAGUUUCCUCAAGCAACUUGAAUCCUCCACAUGAAUCCAUUACCAGCACUUCAGUGUUUGCGUGAACUAACUGUCUCCCAAAAAAUCUCACAAAGGAUUCUAUUUUGUAUUCAAGGUGGUGGUGAUGGUCUUUAUCUUGGGAUUAAAGACUGCAAAAAUAAGCGACAGCAGUUGGUCCUUGUCAGCGAUUUAAACAGUGAAGCAAACAUUCCAGGCUCAGUAAUCUAGUGUAAUCCUCGAAACCAAAGAAAAAAAAUCCGUGCAAUCGCGAAUCUCUCACUUGCACAUGUUCCAUCCACCCCAAAGGUUUAUGACACAUUAUAUACACUGGUUGGUGUGCCAACAUCGCCAACUUUGAGAGAUUUUAAGACACCCCAAAAGAGCAAAUCACUCCAUCGUCUCUUUUGAAUGAGUGAAUCCCAGAGAGAGGAAAGAGAGAAGUUACAGAAUGUGAGAAAAUCUUAUAUCACACACCGGUGGGUAGUCCUGGCUUGUACUCCACAAAAAUCUCCUUAAUGGGGCUCAAUCUGUACAGCUUUGUUUUUGUUCUUCCAUCAUUAAUCUCAAACUUUUCUCAAAUCUCUUCCAGUGUGAAGCUUCACAAAACGAAAAAAAGAAGAAUUACAUUAGAGCCAUCAAUCCUAAAUGCGAAGUAAGCCUCGACACGAUUGAUCCAAGUCACUGUUUGAUCCGAUCUCGCGUAUUUUUUGCGUUUAAUCUCAGCGUCCCUCCUCAGCGGAGUUAGAAUCCCCAGUCACUGUUACCGUUACCGCUAACAUGGGCCGUCGGAUUUGCCAGCACGGACGACGGCGAUUCGUUCCGUGUCACGGGCUGGCACACGUGGCGGCCGCGCACUUGCGGUCGAUGUCCAUCAAGGACGCCACGCUGGACCUCGACCCCCGCUGCCCUCCACGUCAUACGCCGCGUUGGUAAUCACCUCCCUCAUGUCCAGCGCGAUGAGCGAGGCCACCCGGGGUUCGAUUCCCGGCGCCGACGCCCUCGGGGGCUCCAAGGAGGAGGUCGCGGGGUCGAUUCCAGUGGGCGUGCCGGGAUGGUCGAGUGGAGGAUCCCCUAGAGGAGUGAAGCUCGUCUUGAUCACGCGCCCGGAGGAGACCGAUCGGCUGCGCCACAGGCGAUCGCAAUCGGCGUGCGCGCCGCGGUGGUGGAAAUCGUCGUUCCAGGCCUCGGGAGGGAAGAAAUUCGUCUCCACGGCGCCGUUGUGGCUGGAUUUCUUCUUCCUCUUGCGCAGCCCAAAGAGGGAGGAGAUCCAGGAGAGCUUGCCGCCGCCGCCGCUGUGGUGAUGGGGAUUCCUGGCGCCGCGAUGAUCCCUGUCAACGUGAUGAGCCACGGGCGUGGCGGAUGCCGAUACCAGGGGACUCUGAUAGGACCCGGCGGCAUUUGCCUGGCAGUUCCGCGCGGAGGAGAAUCCAUCCCCGAAUCGGGAGCGGCGAAUCGCGCGAACGCUGGAUCCUUGGUGCUGGAGCUCCGCCGCGGCGGGUGCUGCUGCUGCCACUGCGAGAGAGAUUUGGACCUGGGAAGACACGAUGGAACGGUCUUGGAGCACGAGGAGGAAUCGAAGGAGCUCCUGGAGGAGGAGGAAUUCGGGAGGAGCGUGUUGGAAGAAUCGCCCGAGAGAGAGAGCCGGACGAGGACAAACCCCCACCGGCUGCCUCUUGCUGGGAUGAACCAAGCACACGCCUGGAUCCAUCGCCAAAUCGAUCUAGUAGCAGCUCGCGUUGGGAGGAUACCACCGCAAAAAUCCCGUCGGUGAGUGAAUUGGUGAUCGAUCUUGUUGCCAAUCUUUGUCUCGAGUCUCCAGGAUCCAAAUGGACAGCCAUGGAGCGCACUUUUGGAUGGCGCCACCACGAAGCUCGAGCCAAGCAGCGGAUGUGCGACAAGGAAUGGUUCGUCCAAAUGGUGGCCACUUGUGACACCACCACGCAGCUGUGGGCGAAUGCGCAAAAUCUCCGGGUAAGAAUAGGAUUUCUCGAUCGAAUUCUUGGUUUUUUCGUUUUAGCUUCUCUCAAUUUUCCAGGAUCGCAAGCUUUGGAGCAUGGGGUGGCUCCAGCGAUCCGAGUUCUCCGACCUUUUCGGGGCCCAAAUGCCGGGCGUGCAAGGGGCAGGGGAAGAUCUGUGAUGGAUCGUCCAUGAGCAACAGCAAGGAGCUCCAGAUCAUGGAUGUGUGACUGAUAGUGUGUUGAUAGUGUGCCCAAAAUCUAGCCUGGCGCCAGCACCAUGGUUCUUACGAUUGAACCAUAGCUGUGCAAUAAAAGGUAUCUCCACCUAAUAGAGAGCUCUUGGCUUGGUCAAUUAAAGCUUGGAUCUCUGCUUUAGUAGGAGACUUGGCUAGCCAGAGAAGCAUGUUGUCCAAAGACGUUUUGUUUUAGCGUCCUAAAAACAUCCAUUUCUACUCUGGAUCCAUCGGCUCGUUGUAAAUCCCUACAUGUCGCUUGAAGGAGAAGUCACCGUUCCUGGAUAUAAUAUUAAUCUCAAAUAAGUUUAACCAAAGCCCCGUCAACUUUCCGUUUCAAGUUGGAACUUUUGGUGACCAUCCGACGGUUGCAGAUGCUUUUCCCUUAACUUCGCUAAUUUUCCGUCUACAUGUCUGCAAGGACAUCAUUGUUUUGGGAACUGAUGGCCUUUUUUCACAAUCUCUUCAACGACGACAUAAUCGAAGUUCUUACAAAAUCUCUUGGGUCCGACCAAGUCAACAUGAAGGUGAACUCUCGCUGUUGAAGAAUCUCAACCUGAUCAUUGAUAAACUCUUCACUUUACAGGCAGCUGCAGCAGACCUUGUAGCUGGGGCGCAGGCCGAGCGUUUGGACAGCCCGUUUGACGUGAUAUUUGGGUCGCGAAGGGUAAACUUUUCAAGCAGUUUUUGCGGAGGCCAGUGUCAGGCCGUUGAUUUUUGCGGAGGCCAAUUCGGCUCACACGACUCCUCCUUGGCAGCUUUCCUGAGCCUCAACACGGACGGAAAUCCCGCCUUGUCGACCGAUGAUCCGCUACUGACGAGCUGAGCGGCCGCCGCUGCCAAGGAAAAGCAUGCGAGCAGCACAAAGAUCGGCAAGAUGUAGCCUCUCGCCCUCAUGAUCGAAGGGUAACCCCCUGGUCGAUGGAAAAGGUAUCCCUGUGGCGCGGAGCUCUAGAUCUGCGCCGACUCACCUCGGAUUCUAGAAAUCUAGCAGCGUAGCCGCAAUGCACCCGGCGCCAUUGAUUGAUCGAUCUCCUCCGCGGGCAAAUAUCUGAUAAGUAGUGGAAUAUUCUGGUUCCAGUGAAUCUAGGCCGUCCGUCCUGGCUAGCGCUGAGCUAAUCGUGUCACUUGGAAACGAGCCCAGCUGAGAAGACACACAAAUUUUUCUAGUUACGUGGUGUUCGUCAUCUCGAGACACUGAAAAGAGGACUACAAGGACGACGAAAGCCAAUAUAAUAUAAACUACACCCUUUUCGUCCAAUUAUGUACACAUACUUUGUUAAAAGCUUUUCAUCGACAUCGAAGGGGCCUCCCGGAAGAAAAAAACGAAGAAGAACGCUAAUAGUAAGAGACCUGGUGUAAGCAAAAAGAUGGAUGCCCCCCUUGUUGUUACAUCGUCAAUGUAGCGACUGUUUGACGACAUGCCGCAGAGGGAUUCGGUAUCGCAGACCGCCAUGGUUGCAGCUUAUGCCCAAUGCGGGCAUCUUGAUCUUGCGACGCCAUUGUUACAGGAUUGUUGGAACGCAAUCCUCGCGGCGACCGCUGCUGAAGGCCGGAUAAGGAGAGCAAGCCAGAUCUUUGAGGAAAUGCCCGAGCAAGACAUCGUUUCUUGGAGCACCAUGCUUUCGGCAUAUGCCCACAACUGUCUCUUGGACGAAGCCAAACAAACUUUUGGACCGAUGCCUCAGCACAACUCCACGUCUUCGACAGCCAUGCUUGCGUCGUAUGCGCAGCACAAGCAGCUGCGAGAGUCCAAGGUUUUGUUCGACAACAUGCUGGAACGCGACGUGGUUUCGUGGACUGCGAUGCUCGCAGCGUAUGCUCACAAUGGUCACGUCAGGCAUUCCGAAAGGAGUGCUGCUUGCUCGGUUGAAACCCAAAAUCAAGACUCAUCGACACGAAGAGCGAUUUUGCAGUGGAAACCUUCCCUCCCUGGCUGCAAGCAAUGAGGAUCGAUACAAAACACACCUUGUCAAUUGAUCCCGCCAUCUUCAUCUCGUCAAAAACAACAAAAGCUUCCAAGUAGAGCCCGUUUUGAACAAGAGCGGCAAGCAUAGCGCUCCAGCAGAUGGUGUCCCGUUCGGGAAGCGACUCAAACAGAUUGCUGCAUGAUCGAUGUCUUUGGGCGAGCCGGGCAUUUGGAAAAUGCGCAAGACCUUGUGGCUAACAUGCCAUAUGUACCAGAUUCGAUUCAGUGGAGGUGCUUGUUUGGAGCAAGCCGAACUAACAAUGAUGUUCAACAUGGAGCUUCGGUUGCUAGGGAAAUAAUCGGACUAGAUCAUUCUGCUUCAUAUGAGCUUUUUGCCGACUUGAUAAGGUUGUAAAUUUUUUAUUUAUCCGUCCUUAAGGCCUUUAGUUUAAAUAAAUUGUAAAUCUAUAACUUUAGUUUAAACAUAACUAACCUCUAUUCUUGGGAUACUUACAAAAUGUAUGGCGAGAUUACCAAUAAAAUGUAGUGAAUAUAACAAUGUUCUGUGUUUUCUGAAACAGGUUACUUGGAAAUAUUAUGGCUGGUGUGAGAGCAAUGGUGGAUUUGGGUAUAGAUCAUGUACCAAAUGAAUAUUUGACAUCCAUAUGCAAAGGCAUAACCAUCAAAGCUCCAAACAACCUCCCAAUUAUUGACUUAAGUGGCAUAGAUAAUGAUGAUUUGAAAAGAAAAUCAGCAGCUGAAGAAAUCCAUCUAGCUUGCCAGAAAUGGGGUUUUUUCCAGGUAAGUAAAUCUCUUCUGAAAUACUUUGCAAAUUGUUCUAGUCAGGUCAGCGGCCAUGGGAUAUCUAACGAGCUUAUGCAAGACAUCAUCAAAAUAGUCCAUUACUUUUUUAACUUGCCUGCCAAGGAAAGGAUGGUUUAUUACUCAACAGAUAUCUACAAGAGCUUUAGAUUCUCCACAGGAUCCAUAGCAAGUGCAAAGAAAAAGUUUUGGAGCGACUAUUUGUUCCAGCACUGUCAGCCAGCAGUUCACGAGGAUGAUGUACCAGAAAGUAUUCCAAAUUACAGGUACAAACUUUCCUUUCACAUGUCUUUUUAUUUUACUUUUUUCUGUUUUAACACUAUAUAUUCAUUAUAACAAAGGAAAAUUACAAGCAAUUACGCCAAGGCUGUGGACGAACUUGCCAGAAAACUAUUGCGAAUUAUUGCUCAAAACCUUGGUCUAGAUUGGCAGAUCCUGGAGAAACACUUGGAUCCUCCCAAGCAAACCAUGAAGAUGACAUAUUAUCCACAGUGUCCAUGCCCUGAUCAAGCAAUUGGUAUAGGUUGUCAUGCUGAUCCAGGAACCAUAACGGUAUUACAACAAGAACUUGGAGUUGAGGGCCUUGAGGUUAACUACAAUGGCCAAUGGAUUCCUGUGAAGCCAGUUGAAGGCGCAUUAGUCAUUAAUGUAGCAGACAUGCUCCAGGUGAAAUAAUUUGAUGACAUUUUCUAUGAGCUCUUAGUUUCCCUCUUACAGAUACUAAGCAACAAUAAAUAUAAGAGUGCGGAGCAUCGAGUUCUAGUGAACACUAAGGGGCCACGAGUUUCAAUUGCUUCAUUUUAUGGUCCUACAGAUGAUAAACAUAUUGCCCCACUGGAGGAGUUGCUAGGUGACAAUCCUCCCGUGUUCAAAGCAUGCUUGUUCAGAGAGUACAUGGACAACUUCUACAAGAACCACCUUGGGACGCGAAACAUUGAGACGCUCAAAAUCCUAAACAACUGAUUAUAGGAAAUUUAUUGUCAUGAUAAUACAUUAAUCCGAUCCUAAUAUGAUUAAUACUACUAAGGCUGGCAUGACUGUCUGAAAGCUGUCUUACGACAGAGUUCGUGCGGUUUAUUUACCGUAUUCCUUCAUGGGGCUCUUGUUUGCAUGCUGCUGUCCAAGAAGGCUGCACAAGAAAAGCCAAAGUUCUAAGGCUGCACAACUCUUCCGUCUAUACAAGGAGUUUCUUCUUCUCUUGGUAGCGAUCGAUUAUAGCAAGGGAGAGAAGUUUCAGAGUUGUGCAAUGGCUGCAUUGUUGAGAUCCUUUGUUGUUCUCCUGGUAUACAUAUUAGCUCAUUUUUCCAAUGAUGUUUCUGUGAUGAAUUCUUUUGUUUUGUCGUAGCUUGUCGUCGUCACGGUGGAAGGGCGCUCCUGGUCUCCGCUCUACGGCACCAACGCGGGAGUGGGAUUCAACGACAUGAGUUCUUCCUCGGCGAUCAAAACUCUCACCGCAAUCCGCGUACACUACGGCUGGGUGAUCGACGGCAUCCAGGGACAAUACGCCACCGGCAGCUCUUCAACCUGGAUGGCUAACCACGGCACAACCACGCAAUUCACAGAGGUCAGUCUCCCAAAAGAACCAAAAUGAGCAGUUUUCUCUUCUCCUAAUCAUUCCCUUCCAUGACGCAGAUCCAAGUCGCCUAUCCGUAUGAGAGGUUCGUGCGCGCCACCGGCAAGUACGGGCCAUACAGCAGCGAGCAGAACCAGGGGGUCACGGUGACGGAGCUGUCGUUCGUCACGUACAACAACAUCACCGGGAAGAGCGUCACGUACGGCCCGUACGGCGGGCAUGAGAUGAGCGGCCAGACGAGCUUCCAGACGGCGGACGCGAGCGAGAUCGUGGGCUUGUAUGGAUUCACCUCUGACUACAUGCGCGGGAUUGGUUUUGCGCUCGAGCCUUAGAAACUUGGAUAUAGAUGAUUAAUCAUCAUGCCAUGAAUCUAUCUAUCUACC